CCUGACUGCUAUCGGAUUGAUACUAAGCCAUGCGAGUCUUUGCAGUAAUGCAAGGCAUACGGCUCAGUAACACGUAGUCAACUUACCCUAUGGACGAGGAUAAUCUCGGGAAACUGAGCAUAAUACUCGAUAGAUCAUAAUGCCUGGAAUGGUUUAUGGUUGAAAUGAUUCGUCGCCAUAGGAUGGGACUGCGGCCUAUCAGCUUGUUGGUGAGGUAAUGGCCCACCAAGGCGAUUACAGGUACGGGCUCUGAGAGGAGAAGCCCGGAGAUGGGUACUGAGACAAGGACCCAGGCCCUAUGGGGCGCAGCAGGCGAGAAAACUUUGCAAUGUGCGAAAGCACGACAAGGUUAAUCCGAGUGAUUUCUGCUAAAGAAAUCUUUUGCAAGUCAUAAAACCACUAGUGAAUAAGGGGUGGGCAAGUUCUGGUGUCAGCCGCCGCGGUAAAACCAGCACCUCAAGUGGUCAGGAGGAUUAUUGGGCCUAAAGCAUCCGUAGCCGGCUCUGUAAGUUUUCGGUUAAAUCCAUGUGCUCAACGCAUGGGCUGCCGAAAAUACUGCAUAGCUAGGGAGUGGGAGAGGUAGACGGUACUCGGUAGGAAGGGGUAAAAUCCUUUGAUCUAUCGAUGACCACCUGUGGCGAAGGCGGUCUACCAGAACACGUUCGACGGUGAGGGAUGAAAGCUGGGGGAGCAAACCGGAUUAGAUACCCGGGUAGUCCCAGCUGUAAACGAUGCAGACUCGAUGAUGCAUUGGCAUAUAGCCAGUGCAGUGUCGCAGGGAAGCCGUUAAGUCUGCCGCCUGGGAAGUACGUACGCAAGUAUGAAACUUAAAGGAAUUGGCGGGGGAGCACCACAAGGGGUGAAGCCUGCGGUUC
rnacentral:rRNA from 2 species